AGCGCCGGUUCAGCGGACGCUGGAGGAGGGAGCGGGACCCGGCGCAACCGCCGGAGCGGCCCCGAGCCGCAGCGCGGCCAGGGAGCCCCAGCCGCGGGCACCCCAAACCCUGGCUCCUCCGCGAGAGCCGGCAGAACCGAGCGGUGACGGGCAGGGGGCGUUCCCCUCCCCUCGUUCGCGGUGACCUGAAAUACCCCCGAAUCCUCUUCGUUUUUAAAUAAAUCUACCGUCACGCCGAGUGUGAUCCUGUAAGAGACUGCACUGAAAACUGAACCUACCAGCAAGAUUCCCAAGGAAACUUCUCAUCUCCAGGCUGUGUGACUACACUCCAAAGAGAUCGCAGAAGAGGCUGAGCUUCUAAAGGAGGGGCAUUUGUUUGAGAAUCUCCUCCAAUUCCCCCAACAAAAUUAUACUUAAUUCUGGAUUACUCCUUCCCACUGUUGCUGAAGAUCAAUCUUACCUCAGUCAGUCUGAUGACAAUGUACAGACUAACAAUGCCUAGAAGAUACCAGGACUGUGUUUGUGCUGUGCGAGGAUGUGUCACGGCCAGAUUGCACAGCUGCCCCAAACUGAGCGAGGAUUACAAAAGAAUCCCCUUCUGCUGAAAUAAAGGCCUUUUUCAAACACAAAAGCUAGUUAAUAACUAACCACAAGAUGCACAGUAGUUUAGAACAGGAAAUAAGCUCCUGUUUAAGUGGAAGUGUAGGAGGACAUUAGGUAAACAGAGGAGUGGGGCUGGGUCUUUCCCAAAAUAUUGGUCCUCUAGAAGUAUGCUGACAGGAAACUGCUGGAUUUUUCACUGUACCUUCACAUGAUUCACAGCCACCUCUUCCAUACCUUACCAAAAAUACCGCUCUUUUGCCAGAGCAGUGCUUCCUGCAAGGUCUGUGUGAGACGUGGAUCCUGCUGCCCACAGAGCCACUUCCUGCAUCAGGCUGCUGCAUGUGCGUAGCUCUUGCCAGCCCAACAGAUUGCAACAGAGCCAGCCAGAACCAUACACGUGGGCCUGAGAGCAAAUGUCCAUCACCCAAACCAGCUAUUUGCUGGGCAGGCAGAAGCAUCUGCAGUGGGGCUCCUGCAGGCAGGGGGGCCUGUCCCACUCACACAACACAAGGCAGACACCUUCAUAGCAGCAUUGCAGCUCUUUUUUCUUGCCAUUUCAAAGCAGGAGAGUUGCUGUAUUGUGACCUCUUAACAUCACUCACGGCGUUCAAUUCUUUGUUAAAUUCACAGAAGUUCUGUCCUGUCUUGUUCUUUUAAAGUGAAGGAAAAUCUAAAUGUACCCUUAUCUGCUGCAACUGUAAAAUUCAAGGGUGCCAUCCUUUCUUUCCCAGCUAUGACCUUGUCACUUAGGCAUCAUGUCCCACCCACAAUGAGUACGAUUUUAUCUGGCAAAUGGAUGCAAACUCUGUGACACUACUUUCCUCCCUGGCAACUGGUCCAUUUGGGUUUUCUAGAAUUAAAACAAAGGUAUGCUAUCAAAAGCCAACCGACGCUCUGUGAUAAUGUGGUACAUUUAAAAAAAAAUACUGCAAGGUUAACUCAUGGCAGUUGUGUAUCUUCUGGAUCACCUCUCCUACAAUCAAAACUGCAGCUGUGAAUUUUGGGAGGUCUGUUCUGUAUUAGAAAGAUACAAGGACUAUAAAAGUGAGAAGCUCAUUUCUUCUUCAGAAUCCUUGGACUUUAUUUUCUCCUUGCUUAUCAAUUAAGAAACCAAGCCAAGUACUUGAAGGAAAAGUUCAUUUUUGAACUGAGAGUAGAUUAAGGGCUGGGAAGCAAAUGAAAGGGCUUUGAUGGUGGAGAGGAGGCAGCAGUGAGUGUUUGCUGAGACUUGUUUUAUUCAACAUCUUCAUUCACACGCUGCAGAAAGGAAAGUGCACAAAAUCUCCAGGUCUACAGGUAUUCCUGACCUCCUUACAGCAGCCAAAUGCUAUGCCAAUGACAACAUCCUGCAGAAUCUCACAAAAUUGAACUAAAGGCACACUUGGCAUAGGAGUUUCAGCAUAGAUAAAUGUAGGGUAACACAUGUAGAGGAAGAUAAUCCAAACCAAAGCUCUUUGAUGCUGAUGAUGGAACUGGCCAUCAUGGCCCAGGAAAGAGGCCUGAAGUUGCUGUUAACAGCUGCCUGAGAUCAUCAGCCCAGUGUGCAUCUGCAGCCAAAAGUAGCCAACAAAUUCUGGGAAGCAGCAUGAAGAGUGUUCAGGGAAAGAUGAAAAGUGUCAUUUUUUUGCUCUGUGUAGCCUCAGCAUGACAUAUACUGAGCCCAACUUCCAUGCCUGGUCUCUCACAGAGAAUAGGAACAUACCGUUAACUAUCAGUGUGAAAGAUUAAACCAUGAUUUGUGGAGAGCCUAAAUAGCUGAAGCAUGCUUUAGCUGCCUCCAGUCCUAGAAAACAGCAACGAUAGAUGUGUGUGCUUUGACACCCCUGAGAAAGAAGCUGAGCUUCUAUCUGAAACAGAAACUUUAGAUCAAAGUCUAUGGUACCAUCUCCUGAUCUCAUGGCUUACAUGCAGAUACAGAUCCUCCUUUUGUCCUUCUAAACAGGGAUUUUUUCCAAGUGCAGUGUUGUAUCACUAUCAGGGAUUGCUCAGGGUUUACAAAUGCAUGAUGGCAUUUGGAUUUUACCAGUCACAUCCUCAUGCUUGAGGAUAAGCCCAGACCUUGAUUUAAGGUGAUUAACAUGCCAAGAGGUUUAUUUAAAAUGCCUGUUUUCCCUAAAAGUGACUUAGACUGCCUCCACCUGCAGUAAAAUUAAACACUCGUUUAUUGAUUAAACCUACUGGCAUUAAAAGUCUGUUCUAUUAAAUGGUAUUUUACUGCCAAAAUUUAUUUGCAAAACAGUCACAACCCUUAAAAAGUAAUUUAACCUGCACAGCUUUUAGAGCCAAGAAUGAGACUGAAAGAAGGCACUAUUUGAAAAGAGCAUCAAAGUUGAUAAUUACUGCAGUGGAAGUCUGUGCUGGCCAUUGUUUUGGUACCCGAAUCUUGAGCAAGAGCCCUGACAGUGAACAGACAGUGCAUCUUGAACAUAUCUUACCCAUGUAUGGUGAUAUUUUCCAGCUGUAGAAAAGUAUUUGAGAAAAGUCAUGCAGUGUGGCCUUAUCAUUCAUUUUGCUGCCUGCUGCCAGCUAGCUUGACUGAACAGAACAAACAUUGCCAUUACUGAGCAGACCCUUGGAAUACACUGAUUUCUGAAUGCUUUACACAUUAAAGAUGUCAUCUCUGGGAUGCUCAGGAAGCUUUUUUGCACAGGCUGCUCCAGGAGAGGAGAAAGCUUUUUUUUUUUUUUUUUUUGUGUAAGUCUGCCACACAUACAAAAACAGCAAAAGAAAAUCACAGUCUUCAUGACAAAAAAGGACACAGAGCAGGGUGGAUUAAGGGCAGUGCAGUGUCAAAUAGGAAAGAGGGAUGGUUGAGUCUUCAGCUGGGAAGAACAUAACAAGAGACAUGAUCUGUCUGUGCUUUUGUGAGACCUGUGCAGCUUCCAUAUAUUGAAGGAAACAGAAAUUGCUUGAGAAGCCAGGUAAAUCUCUUCUUACUUCUCCAGACUGCAUAUGGGAAAGGUGGACUGCAUCCUGCUUAGCUAGUCCUGUAAACCUGCUGUGUUUUUAGUGACUGCUGGGGGCAUACCAGUAAAUUCUCCUUCUAUUUAUUACAACUGCACAUCUAAUUAAACAGCUUACAAAGUGGGGUGUGGAGGAACAAAAGUCUGCUAAGGGGACCCACUGCACUGCUGUGUGUUGCUUUCUGUCCAGCAGGAUUUCACAAACAGUUGAGGAACAAAAACCCCAGUAAGAAAUGUCUGCUCACACACAUAACCCUUUGACUCUGAGGAGCACGGGUUUGGCUAAUAGAACUACCACUUUGUACUUUUAAUGCUUGGCUCUAUUAGGAUAUGUAAUGAAAUGCAACAUACCAUUGUGACGUUUGAUUUAUCCCUUUUUGCUCCCAUGUAGAACUGUUACAUGAUGGUCAAUCUCCUCUAGCUUAUGCUCUUCUCCCAUCCACCACAUCUUUUUUUCUUCCUUUUCCUCUUCUUCUCUUCACAAAUUUGUUUAUUUUUAUGUUCUUUAGUUUUUAUUCAGCUGCUCUCUGCAGUAACCUCAGCAUUAGGCAGCUUGGAAAUCAGCCUGCCAAGAAAUGCACUACACACCCCAGCAGCUAUAGAAAAAAAGCAUGAGAGAUCUUCAAGCAGCAGGCCCAGGUACCCAUUCUAAAUUAAUCAUGGCUCUAGGAAAAUUAUUAUGACAGUGCAAAACAAAGAAGCCACUCAUCAGUGCAGGAAAACCAUGGCAGAAAAGCCUGGAUAGAGAGAGCAAUUGGGGGAACAGGUAUCUGACACUACUAGACUGGGUAUGUGUUAGUGCAGAUCUGUGCGAAAUGUUCUGUCUGGACUGAAGCAGCAAUGGUGAACACCAAUAAACUCAGCUCCCUGGCAGUGGUGUUGGGCAUCCUCUCUCUGCCCACAGGGAAGGGGGAGGUUGUGCUUGUCCAUCUAAUCCAGUCAGGGCUCACCGUGGGUUUUGUCAGCCUUGAAGCUUCAGGAGUUGAAACAAAAGCUAGAUUUAGCAUGAGACUUCCAUGUCCAGGGUGGCUAAGGAGAAGCCAGCUGACAAGGUUCCUCUGCAAAACCAAUGUUUAGUUUCAUGCCAACAUUCUUUAGUUUCAUGACUACAUUCUUAUCCUUCCUGCUAUUAUAAAAUGUUCUUCCGUUUCUUGGAUGUCAGCAACUGUGAUACAACAGUGACUCAUGUUUCCAUGUCUUUAGUUGCAUUACUGAAAGGAAAAUCCACGUCUAACGGCUGCAUAAUUGCACAAGGUAAGUUUUCCAGACCCCAACAGCACCAGAACAAGGUGCAAACAGCAUCAAUAUGGUAAUUUUAGCAGGCUUGCUGUCAAGGAACUGGCAGUACAACUUCUGGACUCAAAGUGCAUGAGUCUCUGGGCAUGAAACGCUGCUUAGCUGCUAACAUAUUUAUGCAGCACUUCCAGCUGCCUGGGCUCAGCCAGCCAGCACUGCUGCUGAAACCCCUUAAAUCCACAGCUGUGGAGAAAGCCCCUACACCAGUGCACAUGGAGGCCCUGCUGCACUUGGCAAUGGGGUUGAUUUGGCACAGACUGGUUUUCUGGUAGUGGGGGAGGGCCACAGAAGUGGUUUCUGUCAGAAGCUGCUAGAAGCAUUCACCAUGUCCAACAGAGCCAAUCUCUGAUGGCUCUGAAGAUGGAAAUGCUGCUGACCCAGUUAGAGAGGUAGAAGUGCCUCUGUGAUGACCUAUUUAAGACGAAAAUCAAAACAGCACAGACAGGUUUUUUUCCAGAGGUGGCGAGGCACCACCACCAUGGCCAUCCCAGCGCAGUGUGCAAUGUGCUGCAGCUGCUGCCAUCUCAGUAACAGCCUGCAGUGAGCCUUGCCUACUUGGCCACACCCAGCCAGCCACACCACAGGCAGGAGGGCAGGGGUGGCAGAAGGGCAGGGGUGGCAGUGGCCUCUCCUUCCCAGCCCCACCUGACGAGAGGCGUUGAACAGCCCUGGCACUGCCUGCUUUAGCGACCGUGGGGCCGACAGCAGAAACAGGGUGAGUGACUGUCCUGCAUGGAACCUAGACCAGAUCAGCUUCUCAGUGCUGUGGGAUUCUGCAAGAAUGUUUGAACUGGGGGAACUUCUUGGCAAUAAUAGAGGCAAAAGUUUUUCUUCUAGUCAGAGGAGGAAGUGAGGACAUGUGAGGCAGAACAACAUGGUGGCACCAAGGUCGGUGGAAAAAGGGAGAGGAGGUGCUCCAAGCACCAGAAUCAAGAUUCUUCUGGCGAGGCCCUGGUGAGGACUGUGGUGAAGCAGCUGUCCCCCUGCAGCCCAUGAAGUCCAUGGGGGAUGCAAAGAUCCACUCACAGCCUGUGGGAGGAGUGCUCACGCUCAAACAGGUGGAUGCCAGAGAAAGCUGUGUGAGAUGUGAAUGGAGAGAGGGCUCCUGCUUCCAGAGAUGGAGGGCCCUUGCUUCCCAACUAGAGCAGCCUAUUCUUAGAGGACUGCACCCCAUGGACAAGUGACCCACAUCACAGCAGUUUUGGGAAGACUGUUUGCCCAUGGUAUGGACUCAUGUUGCAGCAGUUUUGGCAAGACUGCUGCUCAUGAGAUUAGAGCCACGUUAGAGAAAUUCACAGAGAACGGUCUCCCAUGGGAGGGACCCCACAGCAUAGCAGAGGAAAUACCCCUCUCCCUGAGCAAACAGAAGAUGAUGUCCAGUGACAAACUGACCAAAACCCCCACACCCUUUCUCCCUGUACUGUCAAUGGGAAAGAGGGAGGGGUUGGGGGAAAAAAAUAUGUUUUAAAGGCUUAUAUUACUUCUCAUUAUCCUCCUCUAACUCAGGUAAUAAUAAAUUUACUUUAUACCUUUAAAUUUCAACUUGUUUUGCCCUUAGAGUAUUUUCUCCCAGUGCUCAUCUCAACUCAUGAGCCCUUCAUUAAUUUUUUUUCCCUCUCCUCUGCCCAGCUGAGAGCAAGAGAGGGUGAGUGAAUGGCUUUUGUGAAUGCCUGGCAUUUGGCCAGGGUCAAACCACAACACGUGGCCUCUGUUUCCAUCCAGCGGGGCAGGGGAGCUGCAGAGCUGGCUGCUGGCUCCACCGCCUCGUCAGCCUGCAGACUAAGAGUGCUCCAGUGAAAACUGCAGAAAAUACCUGUAACUGACAGCCUCUCUCCUUCAAAGAUCCUGACUGUAGAAGCACUCAAAUACCUGACAUUUACACUAUUUCAAUGAGUCACACUCAAUUACUUAAGAAUCAGUACUUUAAUUGCCUGACCUUCCCAACAAACACUUGCAAGCUGAAAACAAUGAGGAGUAGAAAUAGUUUUAUUCUGCAGCAGGAAUUUUUCUCUGCUUUAAUUUUUGAAAGAUUUCUAUUAGGAAUUUCAAUCUGAGGUCAAAAUUGCACAUAUGAAUCAUGUGGUUAAAUUUGUGGUUAAAACUGGUAGAAAUGUAACCAAUGCACUUCAUACUCUAGAGACUGAGGAAAUCACUAAAGAACAAGACUUAGGAAAACACUGAAACAGUCAAGCACUCCACCCAUUAUAAUGUAGUGCCUGUUAUGGUACCUUGGUAGCAUAUGGUAGUUUAUGGUACUAAGUACAUUAUGGUACUAAGAGAAAAUAUGAAGCGUUCUCUGUGAUGCUCAUUGAGACUGCUUGGUUAAGCUUGUUUCCUCAAAUCCAGGACUCUCUUCUAUCACCACAUUUGAACAGCUUGCGUAAAUAAGGUACAGGAAUUUUAUGUGCGUCUAAUUAAGAUCUGAACACUCAAACCAACAUUCAGAAAUGCAAAACUUCUCCAAAACAAGUCACCAGGAUGUAAAUCAACAGAGACUCUGCUCAGGAAUAAAAACUUCCCAAGGGCCCACUUCCCUGAUGCCCAAACUCCCGGAAAUAUUUUAUUGGCGAACUCCACAAAAUAGUUUUAUGACUCGGAGACUUAUCUGAAACUCAGGACUUCAUUUCUCAGACCAUUAACACUGAAAUUCUAUUCCUUCAGGAGCAGCCAGGCUUUGAUGUUGACAGGAAAAGGAGUCUCAGAAGGAAAAUCCACUCCACACACAGGUUCAUGACUACAGCAGCACUGUACAGCUCUACUGAAAGAAAGAGCAUAGUCAUGAGAACACAGACUUUACAACUUUGAGAUUAAGAUGAGCUCAAAUGUGUAUUUGACAAAAAUACAGAAAUAUCCACUGUCAUACUCUAAUAAUACAGAAGUUACUUUGCUUUGGAUAAAAUGUAUUUGAUAACUUAAGGUUAAAACAACUUUCCAUAUGUAUUAGUACUCAGCAAAGUAAAAAAUAUCAAGUCUUUACACUCAGACAGAAAAGACAAACUGACAUAUUUGACUGCAACUUCUUUCAGGUCAAGAGGUCUCUUGGGCAGUAGUGCCCUUAGUCUGACGCUCCAC